AAAGAUAUGUCACGCCGCUAUACUGCAUUACUGCUUCCCUUUUUUUUCUCUCUCUUCUUGUCUCCUUUCUGGGAUCUCUUCUUCUUCGAUCUCUAAAUCGGUUAAUCUCAUAUCUCGCCGGCGACACUAACUUCUCACCGGCGGCCGACCACUUAUCCCUCACAACAUCAGAAAGCAGCAUCUUGUUUCUUAUCAGUUUAUCGGAGAGCCUAAUAUCAUCGGAAAGAGUUUUGAUCCUUUAGGAUGGUGGAAAAAAAGCUGAGGAGAGGUAUCCGAUAGUUGCUCUUAUGGCUAGGGAUGUAUUAGCUAUUCCAGUUUCCACGGUCGCAUCGGAAUCUGCAUUUAGCACCGGGGGACGGAUACUUGAUCAAUUUCGUAGUUCUCUUUCAUCACUUAUGGCAGAAGCUUUAAUAUGCGGACAAGAUUGGUUGCGUGUUGCAAAUCGCCCACUUAUUAUUGAAGAAAGUAUUGCUGAAAUGGAAAAGAUUGAGGAGGAUUUGUCCUCGUUGGUGGAGCAGCCAUCAGUUUCAGUCGUUGAUGAUUAUUUCUAAUUAUCAAAUUUCACUUGUUUUAGAUAUGUAAUGUAGUUGAAGACUUGUAAUGUUAAUUCGUUGAUGAACACUUGUAAUUUCAAGUUGCUGACUUGGUGGCAGCAUUGCCUUGUAUGGAUGUAUGGCUAACUGCAUCUGCUAGCUUUUAUCAUUUUAUGCAUAGUUUCUUACCUUUAGUUUAAUGGUUUGGUUUAUUUUUUUGGGUUUGCUAGAUUGUUGAGUUGCUGGAUGCUAGUAGCAAUGCCUGUAUGCUUAAAAUGUAUGGAUGAUGGCACUUGUGUUGUUCAAAUAUUUGGAUGAAAUGAUCCUUCCUUGUUUAUUA